rfam:Myotis davidii contig175920, whole genome shotgun sequence.
GCCUGGAUAGCUCAGUUGGUUAGAGCAUCGUCCUAAUAAGCCAGGGUUAUGGGUUCUCUACCCAGUCAAGGCA